rnacentral:rRNA from 1 species
GACGAACGCUGGCGGCGUGCUUAACACAUGCAAGUCGAGCGGAAAGGCUCCUUCGGGGGCACUCGAGCGGCGAACGGGUGAGUAACACGUGAGUAAUCUGCCCUUGGCUUCGGGAUAGCCACCGGAAACGGUGAUUAAUACCGGAUACGACAACUUCUCGCAUGGGAUGGUUGUGGAAAGUUUUUUCGGCCAGGGAUGUGCUCGCGGCCUAUCAGCUUGAUGGUGAGGUAAUGGCUCACCAUGGCUUCGACGGGUAGCCGGCCUGAGAGGGUGACCGGUCACACUGGGACUGGGACACGGCCCAGACUCCUACGGGAGGCAGCAGUGGGGAAUAUUGGACAAUGGGCGGAAGCCUGAUCCAGCAACGCCGCGUGAGGGAUGACGGCCUUCGGGUUGUAAACCUCUUUCGGUAGGGACGAAGCGCAAGUGACGGUACCUACUAAAGAAGCACCGGCCAACUACGUGCCAGCCGCCGCAGUAA